rnacentral:rRNA from 1 species
GAGGACCGAACCGACUAAUGUUGAAAAAUUAGCGGAUGACCUGUGGCUGGGGGUGAAAGGCCAAUCAAACCGGGAGAUAGCUGGUUCUCCCCGAAAGCUAUUUAGGUAGCGCCUCGUGAAUUCAUCUCCGGGGGUAGAGCACUGUUUCGGCUAGGGGGCCAUCCCGGCUUACCAACCCGAUGCAAACUGCGAAUACCGGAGAAUGUUAUCACGGGAGACACACGGCGGGUGCUAACGUCCGUCGUGAAGAGGGAAACAACCCAGACCGCCAGCUAAGGUCCCAAAGUCAUGGUUAAGUGGGAAACGAUGUGGGAAGGCCCAGACAGCCAGGAUGUUGGCUUAGAAGCAGCCAUCAUUUAAAGAAAGCGUAAUAGCUCACUGGUCGAGUCGGCCUGCGCGGAAGAUGUAACGGGGCUAAACCAUGCACCGAAGCUGCGGCAGCGACACUGUGUGUUGUUGGGU